ensembl:lncRNA
AGGGAAUGUUCUGACAUUGGAACAAUACAGAGAAAAAUAUGCACACGCAUUAUGAACAAGAUCUGCCAUUCUAUACUGACAUAAAAGAAGCACUUCCCAGAAGCCUGAAACCUAGAAAAUGCAUUAAGGUUUAUCCUCCACAUCAACUGGAAAAUGGUCAGUUAAAACCUAUUGUAAAUCUUCAACAUGCUGCUGGGUUUUUGAAUGUCGUGUUCUGAACUGGAGAGAAACUGCUGCUGCAUUUAAGCAGAUAACCCAAAGGGACUAAUCUGGCAGCCAGAACAAGAGCUCUCUGAUAGUCAGGCACCUUGGAGCAGAUGUGAUGCAGAACAAGAUUUGCCAGCUCUGUAACCUGGGGGAACCCGCAUGUAAAGGGAAUCAAAGCCUGGAUGUUCGAACCAGUUGAGUCUGUUAUGUAGUUCCAUUAACAUAAAAGGGAAAUAUGAGGUUUUGGUCCAAUAUAUA